AAACCAUGAUGAUGACAUUCUAAAAGGAGAUCUUUGAAUCUUUCCAUACACCUAGAGAAUGAUUCAUUGGGUCUCUGAUGAAACUGGAGUAUAUCGUUCCUGAGCUU
rfam:Cephalotus follicularis DNA, scaffold: scaffold1214, isolate: St1.